AUGAUCUGCGUCGGAAUCUAUCGUCGUCGUCAGCUCAUGCACAAGUAAUUUUGGCAAGAUGUACAACGUAAGCAACGUAAUGAGUCUUAGACAUACUAUUUCGAGACACUUUGUUGUAAAUAUUGUUUUUGAAACUUAUUGUUCUCGUUAUAUAGAAGUUUCCGAACAAUCAGGAUUCUAAUUAAAUUAUUUAUCUUUUUGUUUUGCUGGUCAGAAUGGCGACGGCUCACUAGAACAAGUGAAACCGCAGUGCGAUGAGCUCGAAUUGGACAAUGAAACCGAAAAUUAGAAUGAACAGAACAAGGAUUAUGCCCAAGAUCAAUAUAAUACGGUAUAGAAUCAACUCUAUUCUCGCCCCAUCAAUUGGGCUACAGAUAUUCGACGAUGCGAUCAUUUUACUUGACGCAGGCGUAAGCCAUGCACCGAUCGGUGAUAUGAAACGUUUCGAUUGUAAAUCUUGGUCGUUUAACGUAAAAUGGUAUGGAAUUGAUUCGAUCCCCUUACCAUCUACUAUACUAAAAGUAUGUGCUUGAACCGCUACGAGUUGAAUAAGACCUAUUGCCGAUUCGAAAGAUCACGUUGAAUCAGGUGCGAUGCUUUGCGCAACAAAACAUUACGCCAAGUUCCGUAAAAUGGAUAAUGCCAAAAAAACAAAGUUUAUCCCUGCCGUUAUUAGCGAGAUUAACAGAAAAUUUACCAGAAAGCAACAUUCAUCAAAGAUCCAGUGUAAAUCGGGUCGAGUGACUAUUAAUGCGUCGCAGUAUGGAUCGUAUAGAUUCGUCAAUUAAUGCGAAUCCGCACCCGCAAGGCAAGUAUACAUUGAUUGGCAUCGAUAUUUAUACGAUUGGUCUCAGUUUACACACCGGUGCAGCAGUACUCGCUGUAUAUUAUACCACUGGUGAACCUGAAUUCGCUUGCGCCACCACUGUCGGUUGUUUCCGAAUGCUGAAAAUCCUAUU